UACGAAGGGGGCUAGCGUUGCUCGGAAUCACUGGCGUAAAGGGUGCGUAGGCGGGUCUUUAAGUCAGGGGUGAAAUCCUGGAGCUCAACUCCAGAACUGCCUUUGAUACUGAAGAUCUUGAGUUCGGGAGAGGUGAGUGGAACUGCGAGUGUAGAGGUGAAAUUCGUAGAUAUUCGCAAGAACACCAGUGGCGAAGGCGGCUCACUGGCCCGAUACUGACGCUGAGGCACGAAAGCGUGGGGAGCAAACAGG
rnacentral:rRNA from 1 species